GACGAACCGUGCGAACGUUGUUCGGAAUCACUGGGCUUAAAGGGCGCGUAGGCGGGUUGCCAAGUCUGGGGUGAAAUCCUGCGGCUUAACCGUAGAACUGCCUUAGAUACUGGCGACCUCGAGGGGGGUAGGGGCAUGCGGAACUAAUGGUGGAGCGGUGAAAUGCGUUGAUAUCAUUAGGAACUCCGGUGGCGAAGGCGGCGUGCUGGACCCCAUCUGACGCUGAGGCGCGAAAGCCAGGGGAGCAAACGGG
rnacentral:rRNA from 1 species